rnacentral:lncRNA from 1 species
AUUCUGUAGCCUAUGCUCGGAGGGCACAUGAGCAAGAGCUUGACCAUCUGUACCGUUGGUUGACUUGCUCUAUUAAGGGCUAUGAUUUCAGGUCGUCCUGCGUGUUUAGAGGAGGCGAGUGGAAUCUUGAGUCUCGGCUGGAGAAGGCAGAGCACGGGCAUGCAGACCUCAAAGCCUCAAACCUGCGUGUGAGAGGAGAAGUUGGCGAGCUCCAGCGUAUGGUCCACGGUUGGUAUUCUAGGAAGAUACAAGACAACAGCUUCUGCGAACCAGUAAGAGUGGCCUCAUUAGACAUUGGAUUUGCCAGUGACUUGAUCAUGGACUUCCCAGUCUCCAGGACUGUGAGUUAUAAAGGUCUUUCACCAUAUUUGCUGUCCUUGGGCAAGAUCAGAGUCAUCUUUGGAAGGAAAAGCAUCUCUGGAUUUUGUUAAAUACCAUCUUAGGAAAGUACUCUCUGCUCUUCAAAGUCAGCGACGACAUGAGUCACUGUUACAGAACCCACAGAAUGUGUCCCUUAAAAUACUGAGAAUGAACACUAUUUUACUGCCUGCAUAAUUAGCACUAGACAGGUGAAUUUAUUACUACUUCAUUAAAUAGAUGAGUUUAUUAACUCA